GAUGAACGCUAGCGGCAGGCUUAAUACAUGCAAGUCGAGGGGCAGCGGGGUAGCAAUACUGCCGGCGACCGGCAAACGGGUGCGGAACACGUACGCAACUUUCCCAGAACUGGUGAAUAGCCCUCCGAAAGGAGGAUUAAUACACCGUAACAUAAUGGAGUGGCAUCACUUUAUUAUUAUAGCUCCGGCGGUUCUGGAUGGGCGUGCGGCUGAUUAGGUAGUUGGCGGGGUAACGGCCCACCAAGCCUUCGAUCAGUAACUGGUGUGAGAGCACGACCAGUCACACGGGCACUGAGACACGGGCCCGACUCCUACGGGAGGCAGCAGUAAGGAAUAUUGGUCAAUGGACGCAAGUCUGAACCAGCCAUGCCGCGUGCAGGAUGAA
rnacentral:rRNA from 1 species